AAACCUUGUGACGAAUUUGGAUAAAAAUUUCUCACGACGGUCGUCUGAGACACAUUUCCUGUGUUGGCUGAUGCAAUUUUCCAAUGUUCUGAUGGUU